rnacentral:rRNA from 1 species
GAGUUUGAUCAUGGCUCAGGACGAACGCUGGCGGCGUGCCUAAUACAUGCAAGUCGAGCGAGGGUUUUAAGACCCUAGCGGCGGACGGGUGAGUAACACGUAGGCAACCUGCCUCUCAGACCGGGAUAACAUAGGGAAACUUAUGCUAAUACCGGAUAGGUUUUGGAUUGCAUGAUCCGAAAAGAAAGAUGGCUUUUCGCUAUCACUGGGAGGAUGGGCCUGCGGCGCAUUAGCUAGUUGGUGGGGUAACGGGCCUACCAAGGCGACGAUGCGUAGCCGACCUGAGAGGGUGGACCGGCCACACUGGGACUGAGACACGGCCCAGACUCCUACGGGAGGCAGCAGUAGGGAA